GGUUCCACAGUGUAGUGGUUAGCACAUCUGCUUUAUACUCAGAAAGUCCUGGGUUCACGCCCCAGUGUAGCCA
rnacentral:tRNA from 1 species